GUCUUCGUGGCUCAGUUGGUUAGAGCGUUGGUCUCAUAUUCUUAUGACUCAACCUUCCAAGGUUGGGAUAUCCAAAGGUCGUGAGUUCGAGCCUCACCGAGGACA